AAUGUAGCAAUACAUGGCGUACUGCUCAGUAACACGUGGACAACCUACCCUCAGGACAGGUAUAAACCCGGGAAACUGGGUAUAAUCCCUGAUAGUCCUCGAACGCUGGAAUGCAUCGAGGACGAAAGCUCCGGCGCCUGAGGAUGGGUCUGCGGCCUAUCAGGUAGUAGUGGGUGUAACGUACCUACUAGCCUACGACGGGUACGGGUUGUGAGAGCAAGAGCCCGGAGAUGGAUUCUGAGACACGAAUCCAGGCCCUACGGGGUGCAGCAGGCGCGAAAACUUUACAAUGCCGGCAACGGCGAUAAGGGGACCUCGAGUGCCAGGUUACAAAUCUGGCUGUCGUGAUGCCUAAAAAGCAUUGCAUAGCAAGGGCCGGGCAAGACCGGUGCCAGCCGCCGCGGUAACACCGGCGGCUCGAGUGGUAACCGUUAUUAUUGGGUCUAAAGGGUCUGUAGCCGGCCGGAUAAGUCUCUUGGGAAAUCCAGCAGCUCAACUGUUGGGCUUUCAGGAGAUACUGUUCGGCUCGAGGCCGGGAGAGGUGAGAGGUACUUCAGGGGUAGGGGUGAAAUCUUGUAAUCCUUGAAGGACCACCAGUGGCGAAGGCGUCUCACCAGAACGGACCUGACGGCAAGGGACGAAAGCUAGGGGCACGAACCGGAUUAGAUACCCGGGUAGUCCUAGCCGUAAACGAUACUCGCUAGGUGUCGGCCACGGUGCGACCGUUGUCGGUGCCGUAGGGAAGCCGUGAAGCGAGCCACCUGGGAAGUACGGCCGCAAGGCUGAAACUUA
rnacentral:rRNA from 1 species